AAAGCUUGUGCUGCAGCAUCACAACCAGCGGUGGCGCAGCCUGCAGAAUCAGAAAACGGUUCACAAAAAUUCAAAAAAAAAAAGUUCACCAAGCCUAUUUACCAUAUAAGUCUUAUUUAUAACAACCACUUAACCUUUUGGUGCUUCACACAGGACUAGUCACCCAAACAACACGGUUCGCUGUCAGGGACUGGGUAAAACGAAGAUGAAACACACCGCCUAUUUACACACCCAUCACUUAUUCAUCGCUGACAGUCAUAUGUUUCACUAUUCAUCACUCAACCAGAACAGGCACCAACUUAUUCAUCGCUGACAGUCAUAUGUCUUACUAUUCAUCACUCAACCAGAACAGGCACCAUACUAUAGAACCCUAAGGUUGGUAAGGAAGGCCGCGCAAAAAUCCAGGAAGAGGAGCUGAGGUCCAGUAACUCUCUGCAUAUCUAGCAGGUACUUGUCAUCCUUGGUCUUGUAAAGCUGAAGAAAAAACAAAUACAUAAAUUCAGAGGCAAAUAGAGAG
rnacentral:lncRNA from 1 species